GGCCACUGCACCACAUCUUUGGUGCUAAUAUAGAAUAAGCUUAAUCAUUAGGCAUUGAAAUAUAUAUCUAUGGUUUUUUUCCGAAAUUAUAUCAAAGACCUUUGGCAAGUUUUUCUUUUUUUAAAAGAUUAUCUUUUUCAACAUACGUGGAAAAUAUUCCUUCCAUCAAUUUUUAUUCUUUUAACUUAUCCAUGCUGCAACUUGCAACAUUAUCA
rnacentral:lncRNA from 1 species